rnacentral:lncRNA from 1 species
CAAACGAAAUCAGUCCCACAAGGAAAUGCACUGCCUUCAUCCCGGGGAUCUCUAUCCUUUCACCAGGAAGCCACUGUUCAUCAUUGUGGAUUCGUCUAAUAGUGUUGCGUAUAAGAAUUUCACAAACUUGUUUGGACAGCCACUAGUCUGCUUGCUUUCUCCUACAGCAUAUCCAAAAGCUUUACAAGUGCUGAUGUCUCUCUGUGGGAGAUGGCAUUUUACUGCUACUUCCCAGCCAGAAGUCCUGUCUGCUGACAUAGUUUGACACAGGAAGUGAUGGUCAGCAUUUGAAUGCCUGAGAGAAGCUGGAGGCUUUCACCGUUGUUUUAAGAUCAAUCUCAGCGAGGUAGCCUCUUCACUCUCUUUUUGAACAAUCCUCUAAUGGCCUUCCUAUUUGUCUCUGGAUUGUCAAGCAUGCGCAGAGGCCUAUGGGAAAAGUGUCAAGAAUAUCUUCGAAAAAUCAACCGUGAUAUUGCCCAGCUACUGACUCAUUCACGUUCAAUAGAUCAGGCAUUUCUCCAGUUUUUUGGAGAUGAAUUUCUUCGCUUGCUCCUCACAAGAUUUAUCUUUUGUUCAGCCACCAUGAGGAUGCACAAGAUUUUUCGGGAAACACGAAAUUAUCCAGAAUCAUAUCCACAACUGCCAAGGGAUGAAACAGUGGAGAAUCCUCAUCUCCAGAAGCACAUUUUGG